rnacentral:rRNA from 1 species
CAGCCGCCACGGUAAUACGAAGGGUGCAAGCGUUACUCGGAACUACUGGGCGUAAAGCGUGCGUAGGUGGCGGUUUAAGUCCGUUGUGAAAGCCCUGGGCUCAACCUGGGAAUUGCAGUGGAUACUGGGUCACUAGAGUGUGGUAGAGGAUAGUGGAAUUUCCGGUGUAGCAGUGAAAUGCGUAGAGAUCGGAAGGAACAUCUGUGGCGAAGGCGACUAUCUGGGCCAACACUGACACUGAGGCACGAAAGCGUGGGGAGCAAACAGGAUUAGAUACCCCCGUAGUCCCUGUCUCUUAUAC